AGUAGCAAUACAACUGGUGGCGACCGGCGCGACGGGUGAGUAACGUGUAUGCCAACCUACCUAUCAGGAGGGGAAGUAACCCGGCGAAAGUCGGACUAAUACCGCAUAAAACAGGGGCACCGCAUGGUGAUAUUUGUUAAAGAGAUUCGCUGAUAGAUGGGCAUGCGUUCCAUUAGGUAGUUGGUGAGGUAACGGCUCACCAAGCCGACGAUGGAUAGGGGAACUGAGAGGUUGGUCCCCCACACUGGUACUGAGACACGGACCAGACUCCUACGGGAGGCAGCAGUGAGGAAUAUUGGUCAAUGGGCGGGAGCCUGAACCAGCCAAGUCGCAUGGAAAAGGGAAGAAGGAUCUAUGGUUCGUAAACUUCUUUUGCAGGGGAAUAAAGUGCAGGACGUGUCCUGUUUUGUAUGUACCCUGAGAAUAAGGAUCGGCUAACUCCGUGCCAGCAGCGGC
rnacentral:rRNA from 1 species